UACGAAGGGGGCUAGCGUUGCUCGGAAUCACUGGGCGUAAAGCGCACGUAGGCGGCUUGUUAAGUCAGGGGUGAAAUCCUGGAGCUCAACUCCAGAACUGCCUUUGAUACUGAAGAUCUUGAGUUCGGGAGAGGUGAGUGGAACUGCGAGUGUAGAGGUGAAAUUCGUAGAUAUUCGCAAGAACACCAGUGGCGAAGGCGGCUCACUGGUCCGGUACUGACGCUGAGGUGCGAAAGCGUGGGGAGCGAACAGG
rnacentral:rRNA from 1 species